rnacentral:lncRNA from 1 species
AUUUAGAACGAUCUCUCCAUCAUAUGAAUUUAUAAAUUAAAACCCAAUUUUUUUUAGCAGAACAUUGUAUAUAAAUAACGUGAAGCGCCCGAAUGUUUUUUUCCGCUUAUCGGGAUUUUUUUUAAUUACAAAGCGAGAAGAGCCAAGUGGAUUAAAUAUCCAUCUUGAACCAGCUGACCAUGGCUUCCAAACUAACAUUAGAAUCGAUCCAGACAAGUGUGUUUCUGGAGCUGGAGCAGUGGGGCGCGAACUGUGCAUCCUAGCCCAGGGCUAAUUAAAAGUGUGCGCGCGUAUUAAAAAUUAGAUAAGAGAGAGACGAAAAGACUCACCUGAUGGUGUCGACGAUUUCGAUAGCCCCAUCGUGUUUGUCCUAGGAGAACGGAGAGAUGCAUUAUAAAAGGGCUAAUUCCCACAUAAGAACAUAUCCAUUGAAAGUGACGUUGACUUACCGAUGCCGACAACGGCCAUUGAUACACUGCUGGUUCGCGCCCCGAGGGGCUGUGAAGUCUUAAUUCCAGUGCCAUCGUCCACUCUAGGACUGACUCCCACGACACCGCUACCACUGUGGCAAUUAGUUGAUCUUCAUUUUGCCACCGAAUGGACGCCACACAAACCUUGCCCCUGUCGCAUACAUCCAGCACAGCAGAGGACGGAGAUGGGAGAUGUCACGUGACGGAGCAUCAACACCCUGAUUGGUCGUAGCGGUCAAGCUGGUGGUGGCAUUUAAAACAAAAUUACUAUUUGAACGAAGCACAGAUCUUCUUACCACUGUUUGAAACGCCUUUACGCUUCAAAACUACUUCGGAGAUGACAGAAGAAGAAAGGCCAACUAACUCUCGCUCGGCGUGGCAGACAAUGAGAGACUCACCUUGGUCACGUGCACCGGAAGUAAGCGAUCAGAAGAAAGGACUUCAGGUAAAAAGGAAAUAACUCCUAUAGUGAUACAUUCAUUCAUUGGUCGUUUCCACAUCCAUUUGUAUUUUAAAGGGGGAAAAUAAGUUUUACGUCACGGAAAUGAUGACUAAUCAUCAUCAGAAUUUAAAUUUCCAUCCGGCGUUUCUUUCUUCAACAGUAUUAUAUUUAAUUUUACAUGGGCGGAC